rnacentral:rRNA from 1 species
AACGAACGCUGGCGGCAUGCCUAACACAUGCAAGUCGAACGAGAUCUUCGGGUCUAGUGGCGCACGGGUGCGUAACGCGUGGGAAUCUGCCCUUUGGUUCGGAAUAACAGGUGGAAACGACUGCUAAUACCGGAUGAUGACGAAAGUCUAAAGAUUUAUCGCCAGAGGAUGAGCCCGCGUAGGAUUAGCUAGUUGGUGUGGUAAAGGCGCACCAAGGCGACGGUCCUUAGCUGGUCUGAGAGGAUGAUCAGCCACACUGGGACUGAGACACGGCCCAGACUCCUACGGGAGGCAGCAGUGGGGAAUAUUGGACAAUGGGCGAAAGCCUGAUCCAGCAAUGCCGCGUGAGUGAUGAAGGCCUUAGGGUUGUAAAGCUCUUUUACCCGGGAUGAUAAUGACAGUACCGGGAGAAUAAGCUCCGGCUAACUCCGUGCCAGCCGCCGCCGUAA